rnacentral:sRNA from 1 species
UAGAUUAAACUUACACCUCGCCUCCCCGU